rnacentral:rRNA from 1 species
GAGCGAUCUCUUCGGAGAGAGCGGCGGACGGGUGAGUAACGCGUGGGUAACCUGCCCUGUACACACGGAUAACAUACCGAAAGGUAUACUAAUACGGGAUAACAUAUGAAAGUCGCAUGGCUUUUGUAUCAAAGCUCCGGCGGUAUAGGAUGGACCCGCGUCUGAUUAGCUAGUUGGUAAGGUAAUGGCUUACCAAGGCAACGAUCAGUAGCCGACCUGAGAGGGUGAUCGGCCACACUGGAACUGAGACACGGUCCAGACUC